UACGUAGGGGGCAAGCGUUGUCCGGAUUUACUGGGCGUAAAGAGCGUGUAGGCGGCCACGCAGGUCCGUUGUGAAAACUGGAGGCUCAACCUCCAGCUGUCGACGGAAACCGUAUGGCUAGAGUCCGGAAGAGGAGAGUGGAAUUCCCGGUGUAGCGGUGAAAUGCGCAGAUAUCGGGAGGAACACCAAUUGCGAAGGCAGCUCGCUGGGACGUUACUGACGCUGAGACGCGAAAGCGUGGGGAGCAAACAGG
rnacentral:rRNA from 1 species